rnacentral:lncRNA from 10 species
GAGAUUGGAGAGAAGCAACUGUAAGCCAAGGAACACCAAAGACUGCAGGAAGAAGAUCAUCCAGCUCAAGUUCAGUCUCAAAUGACUGCACCCCCAGCUGACAACUGGACUGCACCAGAAUCAAUCACCUGAACUGCUCACCAAGUCCCAACCUAAAGAAGACAUGAGAAGGUCACUUGAGGGUCAUGAAAAAAUUUGCAGAAGGAAUGAAUGCCUUGAAGGACGUUGCGACCAGCUGCUGAUACCCAGGAAUCUGGUUGCUCAAGAUGUUACCUGAGAAUAAAGAAACGCAGACUUUUCCCCCUCACUUCCCUGAAACUGCCUCUCCUUUACUCCUUAGCUACCUAAAAACUCACUGCUUCCUCUUUUUGUUAAGAUGGAUUUGAGACAUCUUGCUCUCCCAACUUCUUGCUUUGACCAAAUUGAAUAAAUCUUGUUUGAUCUCC